rnacentral:lncRNA from 10 species
AGAAAGGGAUGGAGUAGAAGUAUACUUUUCUCUACCUCUACACAUCAAUUAGGGUAGACUUCUGUGGGUUGCAGAAACCUCUAAAUAGGGACUUAAACAAAUAGGAGGUUUCAUUUUCGUUUUACAUGACAGUAGUCUGCAAGUGAGUAUUCCAGGGCCAAUAUAACAACCUGUAUUAGUCCAUUCUCACACUGCUACAAAGGAUACCCCUCGAGACUGGGUAAUUUUGAAGGAAAGAUAUUUAAUUAACUCAUAGUUUUGCAUGACUGGAAAGGCCUCGGGAAACUUACAAUAAUGGCAGAAGGGGAAGCAGGCAUGUCUUACACAGUGGCAGGUGAGAGAAGUGAGGUGCGAGCACCAGAAAAAUUGCCAUGUUUACAACCAUCAUAUCUCAUUUGAUUCACUCACUAUCACAAGAACAUCAUGGGGUAAACUGCCCACAUAAUCCAAUCACUUCCUUCCUAGAACAUGUGGGGAUUACAGGUCCCUCCCUGGACACAUGGGGAUUACAAUUCAAGAUGAGAUUUGGAUAGGGAGACAGAGCCAAACCAUCUCACAACCUAAUACUUCCCUGAAGGAACCAAGUGCUUUCUGUCUUUAUGUUCCACUGUUCUUAGUGACAAAUGCUCUGCUGCAGGUACAACAUAUUUCAUGCAGUAAGAAGGAAGGAAAAAGAAGACAUGACACUCAUGUACAUCUACUUAUGGCUUACUGGAAAAUGCUCUCACACUGCCCCACCUAGCAGCACAGGCUACUAGAUCCAAGAUUGUGGAGAAUUAUUUUGGGAUCCCUGGGAAGAGCUGGGAUUGGAGGAGACACUUGGGUAACCUGAGAAACAGGUAUUUACCAAAUUAUACAGAUAUUUUACAAACUGUAGAAACAUACCAAUGGAUAUCAACUGCAUAUUAUAAUACUAUUUAUGAAUUUUAUUUUAGUGAUUAAUUUCUAUAUUAACCCUGUACCA